rnacentral:misc_RNA from 1 species
GAUGAAGAACGUAGCGAAAUGCGAUAAGUAAUGUGAAUUGCAGAAUUCAGUGAAUCAUCGAAUCUUUGAACGCACCUUGCGCCCUUUGGACUUCUGAAGGGCAUGCCUGUUUGAGUAUCAUGAACACCUCAACUCCUUAUGGUCUUCCAUGAUGAGCUUGGACUUUGGGGGUUUUGCUGGCCUACAGUCAGCUCCUCUAAAAUAAAUCAGCUUACCGGUGUUUGGUGGGUAUCAUGGGUGUGAUAACUAUCUACGCUCGUGGUUUUCCACCAGGUAACCUUCAGCAGUGGAGGUUCACUGGAGCUCAUAGAUGUCUCUCCUCAGCGAGGACAGCCCUUUGAAUGUUUGAUCUCAAAUCAGGUAGGACUACCCGCUGAACUUAAGCAGAUCAAUAAGCGGAGGA